rnacentral:tRNA from 1 species
ACCUGGCUGGCUCAGUCAGUAAGAGCAUCUGACUCUUGAUCUCAGGGUCAUGAGUUCAAGCCUCGUGUUUAGUG